AUGCACGCUGGCGGCGUGCUUCACCCCUGCCAGUCGAACGAUGAAGCCCAGCUUGCUGGGUGGAUUAGUGGCGAACGGGUGAGUAACACGUGAGUAACCUGCCCUUAACUCUGGGAUAAGCCUGGGAAACUGGGUCUAAUACCGGAUAGGAGCGUCCACCGCAUGGUGGGUGUUGGAAAGAUUUAUCGGUUUUGGAUGGACUCGCGGCCUAUCAGCUUGUUGGUGAGGUAAUGGCUCACCAAGGCGACGACGGGUAGCCGGCCUGAGAGGGUGACCGGCCACACUGGGACUGAGACACGGCCCAGACUCCUACGGGAGGCAGCAGUGGGGAAUAUUGCACAAUGGGCGCAAGCCUGAUGCAGCGACGCCGCGUGAGGGAUGACGGCCUUCGGGUUGUAAACCUCUUUCAGUAGGGAAGAAGCGAAAGUGACGGUACCUGCAGAAGAAGCACCGGCUAACUACGUG
rnacentral:rRNA from 1 species